CAUAACAGAUCCUGCUACAAGAGCUGCACCAGAAUCCAAUUCAUUUUCUGAGUCAUAUGAUAAAGUCAAGUCGCAGCAUUCUACAAACAUUUCUCCAUCAGCAUCAAAUAUCCCACUAUCGCCUCCUUCGAACAUGUCACCACCACCUCAAUAUCCUACUGAUGACGCUUACCACCAGCCACCUCACUAUCCUACUGAUGACUCUUACCACCAGCCACCUCAAUAUCCUAAUGAUGACUCCUACCACCAGCCACCUCAAUAUCAUAAUGAUGACACUUACCACCAGCCACCUCACUAUCCUACUGAUGACUCUUACCACCAGCCACCUCAAUAUCCUAAUGAUGACUCCUACCACCAGCCACCUCAAUAUCAUAAUGAUGACACUUACCACCAGCCACCUCACUAUCCUACUGAUGACUCUUACCACCAGCCACCUCAAUAUCCUACCGAUGACACUUACCACCAGCCACCUUCAAGCAACAGAACAGAACAUUCUCCUUAUUCUCAUCAGCCGUAUCAUCCUCCACCCUACCAUCAAGAACCAAAGCAGCACUUACCGCAACAGUACCAUCCUCACGACGUUCCCCCAUACUCAUAUCCUAAUUUC
rnacentral:lncRNA from 1 species